rnacentral:rRNA from 1 species
GACGUAGGGCGCGAGCGUUGUCCGGAUUUAUUGGGCGUAAAGAGCUCGUAGGCGGCUUGUUGCGUCGGCUGUGAAAACCCGCGGCUUAACCGUGGGCUUGCAGCCGAUACGGGCAGGCUAGAGUUCGGUAGGGGAGACUGGAAUUCCUGGUGUAGCGGUGAAAUGCGCAGAUAUCAGGAGGAACACCGGUGGCGAAGGCGGAUCUCUGGGCCUUACCUGACGCUGAGGCGCGAAAGCUAGGGGAGCAAACGGG